GCAUCAAUGGUCUAGUGGUAGAAUAGUAUUCUGCCAAAGUACAGACCCCGGUUUGAUUCCCAGAUGGUGCA
rnacentral:tRNA from 1 species